AUACGGAGGAUCCGAGCGUUAUCCGGAUUUAUUGGGUUUAAAGGGUGCGUAGGCGGGAGAUUAAGUCGGUGGUGAAAUUUUGCAGCUCAACUGUAAAAGUGCCAUUGAUACUGGUUUCCUUGAGUGUGGAUGAAGUAGGCGGAAUUUGUGGUGUAGCGGUGAAAUGCAUAGAUAUCACGAGGACCUCCGAUUGCGCAGGCAGCUUACUAAACCAUAACUGACGCUCAGGCACGAAGGCGUGGGGAUCAAACAGGAUUAGAUACCCUGGUAGUCCACGCAGUAAACGAUGAUUACUCGCUGUUUGCGAUACACAGCAAGCGGCUUAGCGAAAGCGUUAAGUAAUCCACCUGGGGAGUACGUUCGCAAGAAUGAAACUCAAAUGAAUUGACGGGG
rnacentral:rRNA from 1 species